rnacentral:rRNA from 1 species
ACACGAAGUGAGUGGCGAACGGGUGAGUAACACGUGGGUAACCUGCCCAGAAGUAGGGGAUAACACCUGGAAACAGAUGCUAAUACCGUAUAACAGAGAAAACCGCAUGGUUUUCUUUUAAAAGAUGGCUCUGCUAUCACUUCUGGAUGGACCCGCGGCGUAUUAGCUAGUUGGUGAGGUAAAGGCUCACCAAGGCAGUGAUACGUAGCCGACCUGAGAGGGUAAUCGGCCACAUUGGGACUGAGACACGGCCCAGACUCCUACGGGAGGCAGCAGUAGGGAAUCUUCCACAAUGGACGCAAGUCUGAUGGAGCAACGCCGCGUGAGUGAAGAAGGGUUUCGGCUCGUAAAGCUCUGUUGUUAAAGAAGAACGUGGGUAAGAGUAACUGUUUACCCAGUGACGGUAUUUAACCAGAAAGCCACGGCUAACUACGUGCCAGCAGCCGCGGUAAUACGUAGGUGGCAAGCGUUAUCCGGAUUUAUUGGGCGUAAAGCGAGCGCAGGCGGUCUUUUAAGUCUAAUGUGAAAGCCUU